rnacentral:rRNA from 1 species
UACGUAGGGUGCGAGCGUUAAUCGGAAUUACUGGGCGUAAAGCGUGCGCAGGCGGUCUGUUAAGACCGAUGUGAAAUCCCCGGGCUUAACCUGGGAACUGCAUUGGUGACUGGCUGGCUUUGAGUGUGGCAGAGGGAGGUAGAAUUCCACGUGUAGCAGUGAAAUGCGUAGAGAUGUGGAGGAAUACCGAUGGCGAAGGCAGCCUCCUGGGCCAACACUGACGCUCAUGCACGAAAGCGUGGGGAGCAAACAGG